GACGAACCGUGCAAACGUUAUUCGGAAUCACUGGGCAUAAAGGGCGCGUAGGCGGCUUUUCAAGUCAGGGGUGAAAUCCGGCAGCUCAACUGUCGAAGUGCCCUUGAUACUGAUGAGCUCGAGGGAGGUAGGGGUGUGUGGAACUUCCGGUGGAGCGGUGAAAUGCGUUGAUAUCGGAAGGAACGCCGGUGGCGAAAGCGACGCACUGGACCUCUUCUGACGCUGAGGCGCGAAAGCCAGGGGAGCAAACGGG
rnacentral:rRNA from 1 species